rnacentral:misc_RNA from 1 species
GAUGAAGAACGUAGCGAAAUGUGAUACUUGGUGUGAAUUGCAGAAUCCCGUGAACCAUCGAGUCUUUGAACGCAAGUUGCGCCCGAAGCCAUUAGGCCGAGGGCACGCCUGCCUGGGCGUCACACGUCGUUGCCCCCCCAUCUACUCCUUCGGGAUUGCGGGGGGCGGAUGAUGGCCUCCCGUGCGCCUCGUCGCGCAGUUGGCAUAAAUGCCAAGUCCUCGGCGACGCACGCCACGACAAUCGGUGGUUGCGAAACCUCGGUUGCCCGUCGUGUGCGGUCGUCGCGCAUCGAGGGCUCGAAAAAAUUGUCGGGCUCUGUUUCGGCUUUCAACGCGACCCCAGGUCAGGCGGGGUUACCCGCUGAAUUUAAGCAUAUCAAUAAGCGGAGGA